rnacentral:rRNA from 1 species
GAUGAACGCUAGCUAUAGGCUUAACACAUGCAAGUCGAGGGACCGGCGCACGGGUGAGUAACGCGUAUCUAACCUACCCAUAACUAAGCGAUAACCCAGCGAAAGUUGGACUAAUACCUUAUGGUUAUGGAUGGGGUUGCGUCUGAUUAGCUUGGUGGCGGGGUAACGGCACACCAAGGCAACGAUCAGUAGGGGUUCUGAGAGGAAGGUCCCCCAGAUUGGAACUGAGACACGGUCCACAAUGCUACGGGAGGCAGCGGUGAGGAAUACUGGUCGAGGGACGCAAGUCUGAACCAGCCAAGUAGCGUGCAGGAUGACUGCCUAUGGGUUGUAAACUUCUUUUAUAGGGGGAUAGUUACCAUAUGAAUAAGGACCGGCUAAUUCCGUGCCAGCAGCCGCGGUAAUAC